CAUAUCAAACCCUAGCGAGAACAUUGUGUGUUUAUGUGUGUGUUCGAGUGUGCAGACACAAAGAAAAUAGAGGAAAAAGACCAAGCUGAGAGAGGGAAAAAGAGAGGCUGCCAAGGUCACCGGCCAGAGCUGCCAUCGCCUGAGUUCUUGUAGCUCCGCCAGUUGACGCAAGAGAAAGAGGCGAGGAAGGAGUGAGGUGUCUUAAGAGCUGGAGACCCAUCUUAACUACUUAUGCGAUUUUCAUCCUAUGCGACUACUUCAGAUUUGGUUUCAAGUACUUCGUUUUCAAAAGGAAGGAGCCGGCUCGAUCGCAGCGCAUCAUACUAUGUUUCCGCACAUGAGAUCAUUGGUAUGUCACUCUUAUAUUGUUUUAAGAUAACAUGUUUUGAUUAUUAACACUUUGGUUUUGACAUGAGAUGUUAUUAUGGAUGUUUAUAUACUUAUGGUUUUAUAUUAACUUAUUUAAAAAUGAAAUUUUUGGCCUUGAAUUUUGGGAGGUUACAACUAUUUAGCUCUGAACACAGCCAUAGCAAUUUGCCAUGUUAUGUCCAUUUCUUCAACAUCUUCUGGAUGAAUUUGGUCCAUAUCAACAAAUGACAAUUAAGGGAGCAGCUCACGAGCUAUAAAUGCAUUAUAACAAUUUACAAGACCAGUUGCAAAAGCCAAAUUUUUAGCAUUUUCAUUGGGAGCUGAGUUGGGGCAGGAGCUGAAACAACAACUGGAACAGAUGUCUUUGAAAUGGAAGCAAGUUGCCGGUAGGACAUUGAAGAGUGAGAACUUUGCAUAGAUGGAGUGGCAUAUGAUGAUGGUUGGUAAGCAGCAAAUAGUUGAACUUGAGGAGUGGUGAAAGAUGAAAAGGCAUUGUUGGUUUAAAUUCCCAGAUUCGCAGUGGAGUAUGAAUUGACAUGGUUGAUCUCUCUCUGCUUUUCAUCCAAUUCAUAACCAUUAAUGAUUGCCAUGGUUUCAGCUAAACUUAGACGAUUUAUAUCUUUUGUUUUCUUAAUCACAGCAACAUUGAUAUCCCAAGACCUUGGCAGAGAAUUUAGCAACUUUUUGUUUAUUUCUGACAUAGACACAAAAAUUCU